rnacentral:rRNA from 1 species
UACAGAGGUCUCAAGCGUUGUUCGGAUUCAUUGGGCGUAAAGGGCGCGUAGGCUGCGGGGCAAGUCGGGUGUGAAAUCUCAGAGCUCAACUCUGAAACUGCACUCGAUACUGCUUUGCUUGAGGACUGGAGAGGAGAUUGGAAUUCACGGUGUAGCAGUGAAAUGCGUAGAGAUCAUGAGGAAGACCAGUGGCGAAGGCGGGGUCUCUGGGCCGUAACUGACGCUGAGGAGCGAAAGCGUGGGGGAGCGAACAGG